rnacentral:rRNA from 1 species
GAUGAACGCUGGCGGCGUGCCUAAUACAUGCAAGCCGAGCGAACGGACGAGAAGCUUGCUUCUCUGAUGUUAGCGGCGGACGGGUGAGUAACACGUGGAUAACCUACCUAUAAGACUGGGAUAACUUCGGGAAACCGGAGCUAAUACCGGAUAAUAUUUUGAACCGCAUGGUUCAAAAGUGAAAGACGGUCUUGCUGUCACUUAUAGGUGGAUCCGCGCUGCAUUAGCUAGUUGGUAAGGUAACGGCUUACCAAGGCAACGAUGCAUAGCCGACCUGAGAGGGUGAUCGGCCACACUGGAACUGAGACACGGUCCAGACUCCUACGGGAGGCAGCAGUAGGGAAUCUUCCGCAAUGGGCGAAAGCCUGACGGAGCAACGCCGCGUGAGUGAUGAAGGUCUUCGGAUCGUAAAACUCUGUUAUUAGGGAAGAACAUAUGUGUAAGUAACUGUGCACAUCUUGACGGUACCUAAUCAGAAAGCCACGGCUAACUACGUG